UCCCUCUUAGCUCAGUGGUAGAGCGCGUCACUAGUAUUUCAGAGAAAAGAACUUUAUGACGAGGUCAGUCGUUCAAGUCGGCUAGAGGGAA